UGGGGAAUCUUGCACAAUGGGGGCAACCCUGAUGCAGCGACGCCGCGUGAGCGAUGAAGCCCUUCGGGGCGUAAAGCUCUUUCGACCGGAACGAUAAUGGCGGUACCGGGAGAAGAAGCUGCGGCUAACUACGUGCCAGCAGCCGCGGUAAUACGUAGGCAGCAAGCGUUGUUCGGAGUUACUGGGCGUAAAGAGUGCGUAGGCGGUUUUCUAAGUUCGGUGUGAAAUCUCCCGGCUUAACUGGGAGGGUGCGCCGAAGACUGGGAAGCUGGAGUGUGGGAAAGGCAGGCGGAAUUCCUGGUGUAGCGGUGAAAUGCGUAGAUAUCAGGAGGAACACCGGCGGUGUAGACGGCUUGCUAGACCAUAACUGACGCUGAGGCACGAAAGCGUGGGUAGCAAACA
rnacentral:rRNA from 1 species